rnacentral:lncRNA from 1 species
AAAAGUAAACACAGGUUGAAUGGAUUGAAGAACAGAAAGCUGAGGAACCAAAAGCUUUGCAGUUUCUCUUUCUAUAACACAUCCCUAGAGAGGCGAGAUUGAUAAGAAAAGUCAAGAGGUAUCCUAAUACUUUCUUUCUAUCUUACAUAUCCCUAUUAUCGCUCUUGUCAUCUUUCAUUUAUUUCUUCUGAUCACAACAAAGCAAUUAAAGCAUGGUUUUCUUUUUAGAAUACCCACAUGAUCAAAGUUCGCUUGAAUAAUUUUUUCCACUUUGAAAGAUGAGAGAAAGGGCGAGAGUCCCAUCUUCUAUCAAUCUCCUCACUGAGCUUUCCAGUCAUGUCUGAUAAAUGUACUUAUUUUAACUGUUCAAACCUUCUGUUCCUCAGCUUUCUGUCCCAUCCACCAAUAUUCCAAAAGGAAUGUGGGACUCAUGGUUCUGCUCCCAAUCAACCAGCACUCUCUUUCACUUUUUUCCUAAUCUCCUGACUGUUCUGGUAAAUAACAAGAAAAAAGGCAGAAAGUAGAAAUCUCCCCCCCACCCCACUCCCCCCACAUGAAAUCCAAACUAGUGUAGCCAAGUUUAUGCCAGGACCCUUGAAUGAAAUUGCACCACAAACUAACUAAAGAGUAUUUUUUUAGCAGGGGCUGAGUUUUGUUUCAAGCUAUAGGUCUUUUGUUAUAAACCCCUCUUAUCUUCUCCAAAUGAUGUAUUGCUGUUGUUCCCUGUCCAAUCAAACAGACUGAAUGGAUCCAAGGCCUUGCUUUCUCUCUCUUCAUGAUCUCCUGAUGAGAAUCCCUGUGCGAACAAUAGAUUUAGAGGGUCAGCCUCUAUUUCUCCUAAAUCUGCGAAGAAGUCCUCCGACUGGUUGGAGUCCGGCAUUGCAGGCUUGUAGCUUCUUGGAAACCCUUCACUGAAUUCACUAUCAUCCAUCUCUAGCUGCUUCUCAACGUUUCCCAUCUCCUCUUUCACAGACGCACCUGUUGUGGAACUCCCACCAACAAUAGGAGACAUGUCAUCGUUGUUAUAGCUCUCUUUGUUUUCUUCCUUCAACCCUGUUGCCUUCU